UGCGAGGUGGUGUAGUCGGCCAACAUAGCGGGCUCAUAACUCGAAGAUCGCGGGUUCGAAUCCCGCCCUCGCAA
rnacentral:tRNA from 1 species